rnacentral:sRNA from 1 species
GCAAUGAAAUGGAUUUCUGGAUAUGAAUUCCUAACGCACAUAUGACUAGGGUCGGCGGCGAUAAGGGCUUGGUGAACGUAAUUUUAAUCCAACCAGGACGCAUGGAAAGUUUGGCAUCAGGCCUCUGUUGAUUCCCCAAGCCGCUAAUUCACCGAUACCCAGCUUCCAACCAAAAGAGAAAAAAUUUACUAGAUAUAAGAACAGCUCGUUUAAAACGGCAUUUAAUUGGGGGAUAUAGUCUCGGUUCACUGAGGUAGUCAACAGCUGGUCCUGCACAUCGAGGUCGAAAUCACAGGGUAUCUCUGAGGCCGGAUCCCUUAUAUGCCUGUAGGGAGUGUUUGACUUGGCGAAUAUGACCGCAUGGUUAUCUUAAUGACGGUGGAAGGCCAUGGCAAUGCAAUACAAUUAACCCAGAAUUGAAGAAGAUUGUUGUUACGAGUGUCAAACGGCGGAGACAUCGGGUGGAUUGAAUUGAACCGACCGCUGUCAACCAUGGACGGGUGCUAG